GAUGAACGCUGGCGGCGUGCCUAACACAUGCAAGUCGAACGAAGCACUGAGAGUUUGAGAUUUCGGUCAAGAACACUCUUUGACUUAGUGGCGGACGGGUGAGUAAUGCGUGAGCAACCUGCCUUUCAGAGGGGGACAACAGUUGGAAACGACUGCUAAUACCGCAUAUGCACACAGUGCCGCAUGGCACGGGGUGGAAAGAUUUAUCGGUGCAGGAUGGGUCCGCGUCUGAUUAGCCAGUUGGCGGGGUAACGGCCCACCAAGGCGACGAUCGGUAGCCGGACUGAGAGGUUGAACGGCCACAUUGGGACUGAGACACGGCCCAGACUCCUACGGGAGGCAGCAGUGGGGAAUAUUGCACAAUGGGGGAAACCCUGAUGCAGCGACGCCGCGUGGAGGAAGAAGGUCUUCGGAUUGGUAAAACUCCUGUUGUUGAGGAAGAUAAUCGACGGUACUCAACAAGGAAGUGAACGGCUAACUACGUGCCAGCAGCCGACGG
rnacentral:rRNA from 1 species